GACGAACGCUGGCGGCGUGCUUAACACAUGCAAGUCGAGCGGUAAGGCCCUUUCGGGGGUACACGAGCGGCGAACGGGUGAGUAACACGUGGGUGACCUGCCCUCAGCUCUGGGAUAAGCCUGGGAAACCGGGUCUAAUACUGGAUAUGACUCCAUGACGCAUGUUGUGGGGUGGAAGGCCUUGUGCGGCUGAGGAUGGGCCCGCGGCCUAUCAGCUUGUUGGUGGGGUGANGGCCUACCAAGGCGACGACGGGUAGCCGGCCUGAGAGGGCGACCGGCCACACUGGGACUGAGACACGGGCCCAGACUCCCACGGGAGGCAGCAGUGGGGAAUCUUGCGCAAUGGGCGAAAGCCUGACGCAGCGACGCCGCGUGAGGGAUGACGGCCU
rnacentral:rRNA from 1 species